UGGUGCUCUGUGGCUAUUGGGUGUCAUUAGUAUCCCCAGGGCUGCCUGUGCCGAGGACCCAGCCAAGCUCUCAGUACGUGGCACGUGUGCCUUCCCAGCCCAGGCCCUGGGUGCUGGGGCUGUUCGCCGACUUUGUAGGAGUUCUCCAACUUGCGCCUACUUCCACAUCGCCUGAAGGGCUGGGGGCCACAUCUGGAGAACUGCUGUCAUCCACUGUUCUGCCUCCCACGAGCAGAGUCUCGCUGUUAUCCGGGCU